CAGCGACGCAUCGCGCAGUAUAGUUCAAAUUGGAUGGAGCUUGUUUGAGGAAACUUGGCGCAGACUACCAUAAUGGACCAACGUUUGCCGAAACUUCGGUCGAGUCGACGCGUAAUCUUGUAAUCAAAAGUCCGAACGUAUAAAGCGAAUUUAAUCAAACUCGGACACACCGAAGCCCAGGCUGGUUGCAAACUGAACGGAAACCACGAUCUGCAGGUACCAAUAAAAUUUCGUCGUCAACGUAAAGGACCUCGUCAUAGUAACGCGAAUCGAUGGUCACCGUUGUGACGAUAAAUAUUCGUUUCGAAGGAGCCAGGCCAACCAGAAUAUCUACCGAGAAGUGAACUCGAUCGGUUACAUCGAAGCACGACUACGUAUAGGUAUCAUUUAACUAGGAUUACUGCAGCCAAUAUUACUAAGGCAAUCGCGAUCGGUUCUAUAACGCAGCUAGCGAUUAGAGUAAUUGACGCAGGGCUACAAUUGAUUUUAUCGACACUAAUUUCGUUGUAUCGACGCGACUGAUUCUAUCGCGAUGAUUAGUAGCAAUUUCGCGGUGACGAUCGCCAUAACAGCUCUCUCUACCUAACGGUACUACGUCUUUGUUGCGUCAGAAUUAUUUUAAAUCAAAUUAAAUAUUGAAAUGUGUAAACAAGAAAUUAAUCGAAUCAGCGAGCCUACGCUGAAUAUGUGCAUUUAUCCAGAAUGAGGUAUUAAUACUAUUAAUAUUAAUUUACUAAAUAUUUAUUCACGCACGUUUUGUAUGUCUAUCCCAAAUUAACAUAGCGAUAAAUAUGCGAAUUCGCGGUCAGCUUAGCAAUGAAUAAAUAAUUGUUUAAUAUUUCUGAUUUUAUGAUCGACCAGGUUUAUUUCUAUCAUCGAAUUUGUCACAUUUGCUUACACUAUAAAUAAAAAAGAAAGCAUUCUACUGACGACAAAGAUUGUUUCUGCGAGACAUUAUACUUGACUCUUAGCGAUAAUAGUUCACGCGUAUUUGGAUAACCAUACUCAAGUUUCCAAGCGGAGUAGCAUGAUUCACGCGAUCCUCUCGCAAUCUGGAGAUGCAUAAAAGAAGAGGUAUGCACCUGCGGCGGAGGAGAUUCGGCCGCGAGACGAGAAAGUUUCCGCAUUAGCCGGAACUGCAAAAAGGAAGACGGUCAAAUUACCUGAAUCCCGACGGGCCUCGGCUAGUCUGCUGAAAAGGAGCGGUAGGAUGCCUUUCGUACCAAGAUUAUACCAUUUGGAACCGCGUGUCGUUCAUAGCGAGCGAGCUUCGCUCCGUGUCGUGUUCGCAGGUGCAAAGAAUUUUUCAGAACGAAUUUUUCAGCACGAACUUCGUCGCUCGCCGCUUUAAUUGAAACUACGCUGCGGAGCGCAACUAUAGUAACGUUCACAGUUUUAAAUGUUUCAGGCUUUUAGAUAGAAAUGAGAAAAAAUCAAUUAUACGAGCUCGGAGGUAUGGUAAAUAAUGAAUUUUAUGUUGAUACCAGUUAAUCUACUAACCACAAGUUGUGUCGGGUAAAAGAAACUGUUUUUACUAUAUUUUUACAAUUUUUUUAAACAAAUGCAUACUUUUCAUAGGGGGCACGGUUUUAAAAAUCUAAAAAAAUUGAGAGUGUAGUCGAAUUUGUCUCAUUUCAUUCUUUGAAGGUAGGUGGGUUAAAAAGUAUUCCACUUUUUGCUUAGCUUUGCUAUUUUAUUUAUAGUUUCUCAUUCAUGUAGCAAUACUAUACCAGGGCUUCUAAAACUUUUUUCAUUCACGACCCCAUUUAUGAUUGUGAUUUUUUUCUCAACCCAAAAAAUAUAAAUCCUAAGACCAAUAAAUAUAUAAAAAUAACAUAUUGCAUAUAAUAAUUAAUAAACUAAUUACCGAAUAAAUACAAAAAUACUAUAUUAUUUUUGCGAUGUCCACUCUCGUGUUACAAUGGAGCAGAGUCAACUGACUACACUGCAAAAGCGACAACACUGCACUAGUUCACACUACAAUCAGUGUUGCUUAAUCGUUGUCUCGCUGCACCAGAAAUGACACAAAGCGCAAUUCACGAAACCUGUGACACAAAGUGCGCUAUUUUCGAACUCUUACAAAUGUAUUUAAAUAUUUUACAUUAAAAUCUUGCGAACCCAAGAUUUCGCUAAGCGACCCAUAGUUUAAGAAGCCCUGCUAUAAACGGACGCUAAAAGUACAACAAGUGGAAUCAGAAAUGUAUACAAGUCAAAACGCGUUAGCAAGUUGUUAACAGUGUUCUUCUGUGCAACUUGAAUUUUAUUUAUUUUUUUUUUAUAUAAUCGUGUGCUUCGAAGAGUUAAGAUAGAACUAUCAAAAACACACUCGCGAAUUAUCUAUGGGAGUGGUGAGCAAAGCUAUAAGACUAUGGAUGUUGGCGAAAUCGAUUGUUAAUCCGUGAAUCUCUCUGCCGGAGGUUUCGCGCGAGUCAAAGGACGAAAUCUCGUUGCGGGAAGAUACAAGCGCAGGUCGAGGCGACACGCUAAUUAUUAUGCGGAAUGUGUUUCACCGAGACCGUGGCUGACCCGAAUUAAAAUGGACGCGAUCGUUAUUCACGGAAUAAUUAGAUUAAAAAGUUCCUCCAGUUUUUCGUUGUACUAAUAAAACGCCACGAAGCUGUGCUUUUUUAUGGUUGAAUGGCGUCUAGCGGUUAUGAAACAUCUUUUAAAUGGCUUUCAAAAAUGGCCAUUACUCGAUCGAAUAUGCUCAUUGAUUCUUGGCUCGUGAGAGUCGUUUUUUCAACAUUCCAGGAACGAAAUUACAGGAAUUAUAUUAUUAUACUACAUGAAAUAAAGGAAUAAUUACAAUACAUUAUAUGUAGUACUUGGUAAUUACAGUAAUUGUGGAAGAAUAACAAUAAGCAAAAUCUGAUUGCUACUGAAGUUCGUAUAGAUUGCAAUGGCCAUCAGGUUGAGACUUAUGUGUACAGAUAGAUUGCAAGUAUAUCUAUCUAAACUGGAGUUGUAAAUAUAUAUAGAUUGAAUACAAUGGUAGAGAGACAAUUUUACCACUUCGUACUAUAGAAUAUUAGCCCUUUACAUUUAAUAUUAACUCAUAUUAUUCACUCGUUGCACAAUGUGCAGGAAUGUAAUCACGUGGUUUUUUGAAAAUAUUUUCAGUCUCGUAAUAUCAUCGUUCAGCGUUGUUAUCACUUUUCCAUUUUUACUGGUUUGCCGCGCGACGCAACUUGCCUGACGAGGAAUUUGGAAGGAAUAAUUCUGGCGCAGUUCGCUACGAAAAAGGAAGGAAACGGGAUAAAAUUAACGACUCGCGUGACAUUGCGCAAAAAAGAGAAAAGAAAGAAAAACACGAAGAUAGAAAAGGAAGCAGGAACGGUUUCUCUUUUGCUGGCGAGGGACCAGCAAGAUACAAAAAAUAAAGUAAAGAAGAAUCGUUCCAGUUUCCUUGGUUCGGGCCGCUUUUGAAAUAACCGCCGCGACCCUGAGCUUCCUUUCAUGAAAGGAAUACCGGGCCGUUUGCAGCUCGCGUCGACGGUAAGGAAUGCUUAAAAACGCGCCCCGUGGAAAUGUCAGGAGUCACUCUUGCGCGUAUUAAUUCCCCCUUUGGAAUUUCAUCGUGCCUUUAGAACCUGGCUUUAACCAACGCAAGCCUUUAUUUUCGUCGUGGAUUGGAAGGGGUUUGCUUAAAUGUACAGGUUGCAAAGUUAAAGGCUUUCCUGUUUGGCAUCACAAAUUUAUUGGGUUGUCCAGAAAGUUCGUGCCAAUUUUUAAGAAAUUCAAAGGCAUAUUUGAAUUUUGAUAUACAUUUAUUGAAUUACAUAAGCACCAUUUUGUUUCACAACCUUUCCACCUCUCAAAGGAUACACAAGUGUUAUUUGUUUUUAACCACUCCGAUAUAUUCAGACCUGUACCAUCUACCAAAACUUGGCAUGGACUUUCCAGACAAAUCAUUAUAAAAUUGUUAUUGUUGCGACGGCAUGAAGAUGCCGCGCGAGAUUCCGAAGUUGCAUCGUCGCGACAGUGUGAAGAUGCUCCUUCGAACGAGCGGAAACGAGAUCCCGUUCUUCCGGUUGCGAAGAGCCGGGAGAUAUUUAAAAUGAAGAGUUCUGUGUUAGACUUGUUGACGAACGAACUUUUUUAAUAUACCUCAAAGU